rnacentral:rRNA from 1 species
AACGAACGUUGGCGGCGUGAAUUAGGCAUGCAAGUCGCGGGAAUCCAGCAAUGGGGAACCGGCGUAAGGGGCAGUAAUGCGUGGGUACCUACCCUGGGGUCUGGAAUAGCCGUCCAAGAGGGCGGGUAAUACCGGAUGAUCUCGGGAGAGCAAAGCUCCGGCGCCCUGGGAGGGGCCCACGUGAUAUUAGCUAGUUGGCGGGGUAACGGCCCACCAAGGCGGAAAUGUCUAGCGGGUGUGAAAGCACAACCCGCGCCACUCGCACUGAAACACUGGCAAGACACCUACGGGUGGCUGCAGUCAAGGAUCUUCGGCAAUGUGCGCAAGCACAACCAAGCGACGCCGCGCGGGCAACAAAGGCCUUCGGGUUGUAAAGCCCUGUCAAGGGGAAAAAAAGCCCGCAAGGGUGUGAUCUAUCCCUGGAGGAAGCUCGGGCUAAGUUCGUG